AUUAAACAGGGUAAUAACAGCUUAAGAAAGCUCUAUGCAAUUGUUGCUUGAGGUUUUUUAAAGCAUAUUCAUUGGUUAAUGUGUUGGUAAAAUGAGAAUUGAUGGUUCCGGAUUUUCAGGAGUAAAUUAUUUUUUAAACUGAAAUUCAUUGACUUUCCUCAAAUUAGAUUACUGAAUGUUGGUAGUGUUUUUUUUUUACAAGUGUAAACUAGUCGUGUCAAUCUAUAUGAAUGUUGUGUAAAAAAUGAUUGAAUGGUGUCAUAAAUGAUUGUUGUCUUCAAUGUAUGAAUUGUAAAUAUACUAUGUAUGUAUUGUAUAUGUUACAAUUUAUCUAGCGUUGGGUUUUAAUGGCAACAUUUUUAUGUUUUUAAUCAUUGUGUUUAAAUGGUUUUAUGAUUAUGUCUUCCAGUCGUGAAGAAAUCACAUGAGACAAGCGGUAUGUUUCAACAUACUACCUCUCUCCUAAUCAUCUAUCUUCAUAUAUUAUCAUUAUGCGACUAUGGUUAUAGGUUCUUACUUAAACUAUUUGAAUGAUAUUACCUUUAUAUGAUAUUUUUUACAACAAAAUAUUACUUUUUAAUUAAAACCAUUGGGUUUUUAUGGAUCAAAACUUGCCUACUUCCCAAUUUUUGGAACGGUUUUCUAUUUUUUCUGUCUUAGUAUAUUGUUCAUAAUUUACUGUAACAAUAAUUGUGCUUUUUAUGAAAUAAACUGUCGUACAC
rnacentral:misc_RNA from 1 species